rnacentral:rRNA from 1 species
UCUACGGGUGGCAGCAGUGAGGAAUAUUGGUCAAUGGUCGGGAGACUGAACAAGCCAAGCCGCGUGAGGGAUGAAGGUACAGAGUAUCGUAAACCUCUUUUGUCAGGGAACAAAGGCGGGGACGCGUCCCCGGAUGAGUGUACCUGAAGAAAAAGCAUCGGCUAACUGCGUGCCAGCAGCCGCGGUAAUAGGGGGGAGGCGAGCGUUAUCCGGAUUUAUUGGGUUUAAGGGGUGCGCAGGCGGUGUGUUAAGUCAGCGGUCAAAGCCCGGGGCUCAACCCCGGCCCGCCGUUGAAACUGGCAGUCUCGAGUUGGAGAGAGGUAGGCGGAAUGCGCGGUGUAGCGGUGAAAUGCAUAGAUAUCGCGCAGAACUCCGAUUGCGAAGGCAGCAUGCCGGCUCCACACUGACGCUGAGGCACGAAAGCGUGGGUAUCGAACAGGAUUAGAUACCCGGGUAGUC